GACGAACGCUGGCGGCGUGCCUAAUACAUGCAAGUUGAGCGCUGAAGGUUGGUACUUGUACCAACUGGAUGAGCAGCGAACGGGUGAGUAACGCGUGGGGCAUCUGCCUUUGAGCGGGGGACAACAUUUGGAAACGAAUGCUAAUACCGCAUAAAAACUUUAAACACAAGUUUUAAGUUUGAAAGAUGCAAUUGCAUCACUCAAAGAUGAUCCCGCGUUGUAUUAGCUAGUUGGUGAGGUAAAGGCUCACCAAGGCGAUGAUACAUAGCCGACCUGAGAGGGUGAUCGGCCACAUUGGGACGGAGACACGGCCCAAACGCCUACGGGAGGCAGCAGUAGGGAAUCUUCGGCAAUGGACGAAAGUCUGACCGAGCAACGCCGCGUGAGUGAAGAAGGUUUUCGGAUCGUAAAACUCUGUUGGUAGAGAAGAACGUUGGUGAGAGUGGAAAGCUCAUCAAGUGACGGUAACUACCCAGAAAGGGACGGCUAACUACGUG
rnacentral:rRNA from 1 species